GCUUGUGUUGGGAGUAGAAAUCUGGUUUGGUGAGUUUAAGAGCAGGGAGUAUACAAGAGACAACCUUGCUACUGUGAGAAGAGAGAACAAGGGAGGGGGAAGGAAAAAAAUAAGCUAACAGAGAUGAGACACUUAACAUUUUCUUCUCAGUCACAGUUUCAGUGUGGGCUCCUGAGAUCUUGCAGGCAUUACCAAGGCAAUAGGCAGAAACUGGCUCUGGAAGUGUACUAGUUUAACUUUUUUUUAUGCUUUAUGUCUAGUCAGGAAUUUGGUUUAAAGAGAGUGCCUUCUGAUUAGCACUCCUAUUUAGCACUUUGGAAUGUGCAGCUUAGGUCAGUGCGAAUCAGGGUUUUAGCUUAGCUGGUACUACUAAUUGCAAGUUCUCUGUACACCUCUUAGCACUCAGAAACUCUAAAGAAAGCAGAGUGAAGCAAGGAAGUGAAGGCUAAAAGAUCUGUUGUUCUAAACAGCAUUGUAAGGAGUUGCUCAACUCUUCUCAUUUAGCAGAGCAUUAGUAAAAGAAGAUGCAUUAGGUUGCUGCCCAGAAACUCUUUCUUCUCUGUGAAUGGUGCUAAGGGCAGAGACUUACUUCAGCUCCACAAUCCAGAUGCAACUUCUUCAAGAAAGUUAAGCCUUUGCAGAUUUCUUCUUGACUGGAAGUGGAAUUUGACAAAUAACCAGAAGGACCAGUGACCUUAUAAAUAAAAUUUCAGCUGAGGAAAUAUGUCACUGAUGCCUGUGCUGGAUCAUUAAUAAGGCCACUACAAAUUGGGCAAGAGAAGACUCGGGCUAAUUCUGAGCUCCUGCUGGUGGGAAUCAAGAGCAGCUCUCUUGCAGUUGGUGAACAGGUGUAAAACUAGUAAGAUCAAAACUGUCUUGCAUGUCCACUUUAUCACGAGGAGGAAGGAAUCUGUACAGAAAAUUAAGCAAAAUGAAACAAUGCAGGUCUUGUAUAUGCUGUUGACUGAAGAGAAGUUCCAACUGGGAAUGCGGGGCUCUGUCAAAAUGCAUUUCAAUAUUGCCAGUGUCUGUUGUUCCAAAAUCACAAGCUAAGCCUCCAGAAAGCUAAGCCUCCAUGAGAUUUGGCUUAAAAGAGCAGAAGAUUUGGUAAAUAUAUAUAGAAAUAAAUUUGGGAUUCCAUAUGUGUGUUAGUUGAGUUUGAGGUUCAAAUUUUCAAGCUAUUCUCCACAAGUACUAGACACUGACUUUUUUCAAACAAAAAGAAGAAACCUAAGACCCUUAGGUAAUCAGAUGACUCCAAGAAGUGGCAAUUUAAGGAAAACUCCAAGUAUUAUGUCUAAUAUAGUUAUCAAUAACAAUUGGCAACACUGAUCUGAAAAUCCAAAAGGGUAGGUUGUUACUGAAAGCAGGAUAGCAAAGGCUAAAUUAUACCUCUCCAUCCAGGGGUAAGGUGUAGGGGAGAACAAUUAAAAAAAACAAAGCACUAUCAACACCUUGUAGGUGCUCACCUGACAGCAUCCACAUAUAUGCUAUUGUAAUAUACAUAUAUUUCUGUAGCUACAAGAAGUGGAGGCAGGCAUGUUUCUAUACUGACUGCCUUUUUCAAGUCUUGGACUUUUUAAUAGACUAUAUCUUUGAUAAUUCAUCACAGCAGUGGCUUAAUGUAUUAAGUUACUGUCUUGGUACAUGACCAAUGUUAGUCAAGUUGAAUAAUGACUAGAAGGCUCUCAAAAAUAUUGUGAGAAGCAUGUUAUAAGAACCUAUAUUUUUAAAAAAACUAGAGCAUAGCUAUGUGGACUUUUGCUUGGUUAUCAGCUAAGAAUCUGGUCUAUGUAGGCUAAAAUAAUUUUUCAGUGAUUUGAGACAGUGAAUUCUAAGUUAUUUUGUAUGAUUAAGCAUAAUCUAGUGUUUUCUGUUACACCAGAAAUGUGGGGCAUUUGACUUGUAUGUUGUCCCCUAGUAUACAAUAACAAAUAAGGAGUGGAGACAUUUGGGAUUCUACAGAACAUCUAAAAUAUUAUGAAACAUGUGUAGGUGUUCUAUGAAAUAUCGUGCAAGUGUUAUUGUACAAAAACUAUGUCUAUACUAGACU